UAUGUCCUCUUGAAAGCAAAUAUUUAGGCUUCCGUAGAUGUUCAACAGUAUGAGUGGUAUGUCUGGGGAAUGUCUGACCGUUGAUUUUGUUGUCUAAUACUUUCAGAAUCUCUUUGGCAGUAACAGUCUUGAUGGAGGAAGCAGCCCUAUGAUCAAGCCCAAAGGAGACAAACAGGUGGAAUACUUAGAUCUCGACUUAGAUUCUGGGAAAUCCACACCACCACGUAAGCAAAAGAGCAGUGGCUCAGGCAGCAGUGUAGCAGAUGAGAGAGUGGAUUAUGUUGUUGUUGACCAACAGAAGACCUUGGCUCUAAAGAGUACCCGGGAAGCCUGGACAGAUGGGAGACAGUCCACAGAAUCAGAAACGCCAGCGAAGAGUGUGAAAUGAAAAUAUUGCCUUGCCAUUUCUGAACAAAAGAAAACUGAAUUGUAAAGAUAAAUCCCUUUUGAAGAAUGACUUGACACUUCCACUGUAGGUAGAUCCUCAAAUGAGUAGAGUUGAAGUCAAAGGACCUUUCUGACAUAAUCAAGCAAUUUAGACUUAAGUGGUGCUUUGUGGUAUCUGAACAAUUCAUAACAUGUAAAUAAUGUGGGAAAAUAGUAUUGUUUAGCUCCCAGAGAAACGUUUGUUCCAUAGUUAACACACUCGUAGUAUUACUGUAUUUAUGCACUUUUUCAUCUAAAACAUUGUUCUGGGUAUUCCCAAUGUACCUUACCAUAAUUCCUUUGGGAGUUCUUGUUUUUUGUCACACUACUUUAUAUAACAAUACUAAGUCAACUAAGCUACUUUUAGAUUUGGAAAUUGCUGUUUAAACUACAGUCUAACAACAUUAAAAUGAGAGG
rnacentral:sRNA from 1 species